rnacentral:rRNA from 1 species
CCUACGGGAGGCAGCAGUAGGGAAUCUUCCGCAAUGGACGAAAGUCUGACGGAGCAACGCCGCGUGAGUGAUGAAGGUUUUCGGAUCGUAAAACUCUGUUGUUAGGGAAGAACAAGUAUCGUUCGAAUAGGGCGGUACCUUGACGGUACCUAACCAGAAAGCCCCGGCUAACUACGUGCCAGCAGCCGCGGUAAU